GGCAGUAGUAUCUUUCUGGAGCUGGCGGGAAGAUUCUGGCAAGAGGGCAAUCAGCCAGAAGCAGACGCCCCUAAAGCUUUUCAAGGUUACCCUGAAAGUCAACUACUUGUACAGUUUGAGUUUGCACAGCCAAGAACUGUAUUACUUGAUACCCUGGACAGUAACAAAACAAAUAAAAAUACGAGCCCAAGCUCUGCUACCAUUAUAGGUCAGAUUGGAUUCUUGCAAGCAACAUAUAGUUUGGUUAUAUUUUCUGAUCCAUCCUCCCACUCUGUGCCUUUUGAUGGUUGCUGGGACUUUGUGCCUGCACUAUGAAUCCACCACUCCUGUGGGAUAUAGAGAGGCAGAGAGGAACAAUGAUACCUGCAGACCUGCUUUAAGGCUUGAG